AAAUAUAACUUUCUUCUCUGUCUGUGACAUCUGUCACCCUACUGAUNNCCAGGGUUAGUUCANCUGACCUGGUUAGCUAGGCAGGUGUCCCUUUGCUCCCUCACUACUACAUGUGGUCCCUCCUGAAGCUUGGUUGAAGAGCACAAUCUUCCCAGAAUAGAGGAGGACUGGUCUUCGGUCAAGGGUAUAUGAGUAGCUGUGAUCCCCUGAUAGAACUUCCAAACAAGCUCUCUUUUUUUCAUAAUUGUAAAAGUUAGGGUUUUCUUUUUUCCUUUCUUUCUUUUC
rnacentral:snRNA from 1 species